rnacentral:rRNA from 1 species
GACGAACCGUGCGAACGUUGUUCGGAUUCACUGGGCUUAAAGGGCGCGUAGGCGGGCACAAAAGUCAGGGGUGAAAUCUUUCGGCCCAACCGGAAAAGUGCCUCUGAUACUGUGUGCCUCGAGGGAGGUAGGGGCGUGUGGAACUUCCGGUGGAGCGGUGAAAUGCGUAGAUAUCGGAAGGAACGCCGGUGGCGAAAGCGACGCGCUGGACCUCUUCUGACGCUGAGGCGCGAAAGCCAGGGGAGCAAACGGG